rnacentral:rRNA from 2 species
GACGUUGAUAGGUUGGAUGUGGAAGCAUAGUGAUAUGUGAAGCUGACCAAUACUAAUUGCUCGUGAGGCUUGACUAUACAACACCCAAGCAGUUG